rnacentral:rRNA from 1 species
UACGUAGGAGGCGAGCGUUGUCCGGAUUUACUGGGCGUAAAGCGCGCGCAGGCGGCAUGGCAAGUAAGGUGUGAAAUCUCCCUGCCUAACGGGGAGGGUGCACUUUAGACUGCCAAGCUAGAGGACGGUAGAGGGGGGUAGAAUUGCUGGUGUAGCGGUGAAAUGCGCAGAUAUCGGGAGGAACACCGAUGGCGAAGGCAGCUCGCUGGGACGGUACUGACGCUGAGGCGCGAAAGCGUGGGGAGCAAACAGG